CUCGAGUGGCGAACGGGUGAGUAACACGUGGGUGAUCUGCCCUGCACUUUGGGAUAAGCCUGGGAAACUGGGUCUAAUACCGAAUAGGACCGCGGCAUUCAUGGGCUGUGGUGGAAAGCUUUUGCGGUGUGGGAUGGGCCCGCGGCCUAUCAGCUUGUUGGUGGGGUAAUGGCCUACCAAGGCGACGACGGGUAGCCGGCCUGAGAGGGUGACCGGCCACACUGGGACUGAGAUACGGCCCAGACUCCUACGGGAGGCAGCAGUGGGGAAUAUUGCACAAUGGGCGCAAGCCUGAUGCAGCGACGCCGCGUGAGGGAUGACGGCCUUCGGGUUGUAAACCUCUUUCAGUACCGACGAAGCGCAAGUGACGGUAGGUACAGAAGAAGGACCGGCCAACUACGUGCCAGCAGCCGCGGUAAUACGUAGGGUCCGAGCGUUGUCCGGAAUUACUGGGCGUAAAGAGCUCGUAGGUGGUUUGUCGCGUUGUUCGUGAAAACUCACAGCUUAACUGUGGGCGUGCGGGCGAUACGGGCAGACUGGAGUACUGCAGGGGAGACUGGAAUUCCUGGUGUAGCGGUGGAAUGCGCAGAUAUCAGGAGGAACACCGGUGGCGAAGGCGGGUCUCUGGGCAGUAACUGACGCUGAGGAGCGAAAGCGUGGGGAGCGAACAGGAUUAGAUACCCUGGUAGUCCACGCCGUAAACGGUGGGUACUAGGUGUGGGUUUCCUUCCUUGGGAUCCGUGCCGUAGCUAACGCAUUAAGUACCCCGCCUGGGGGAGUACGGCCGCAAGGCUAAAACUCAAAGGAAUUGACGGGGGCCCGCACAAGCGGCGGAGCAUGUGGAUUAAUUCGAUGCAACGCGAAGAACCUUACCUGGGUUUUGACAUGCACAGGACGCCGGCAGAGAUGUCGGUUCCCUUGUGGCCUGUGUGCAGGUGGUGCAUGGCUGUCGUCAGCUCGUGUCGUGAGAUGUUGGGUUAAGUCCCGCAACGAGCGCAACCCUUGUCUCAUGUUGCCAGCACGUUAUGGUGGGGACUCGUGAGAGACUGCCGGGGUCAACUCGGAGGAAGGUGGGGAUGACGUCAAGUCAUCAUGCCCCUUAUGUCCAGGGCUUCACACAUGCUACAAUGGCCGGUACAAAGGGCUGCGAUGCCGUAAGGUGGAGCGAAUCCUUUCAAAGCCGGUCUCAGUUCGGAUCGGGGUCUGCAACUCGACCCCGUGAAGUCGGAGUCGCUAGUAAUCGCAGAUCAGC
rnacentral:rRNA from 1 species